rnacentral:rRNA from 1 species
AGCAGCCGCGGUAAUUCCAGCUCCAAUAGCGUAUAUUAAAGUUGUUGCAGUUAAAAAGCUCGUAGUUGAACUUCAGGCCUGUCCAGAUGGUCCGCCUUAAUUGGUGUGUACUGUCCUUGGGUGGGUCCUACCUUCUGGCGAAGCAGCAUGGCCUUAAUUGGUUGUGUUGGGGAACCAGGACUUUUACUGUGAAAAAAUUAGAGUGUUCAAAGCAGGCAUAUAUGCUCGAAUACAUUAGCAUGGAAUAAUGGAAUAGGACGAUGGUUCUAUUUUGUUGGUUCUAGGACCGUUGUAAUGAUUAAUAGGGAUAGUUGGGGGCAUUAGUAUUCAAUUGUCAGAGGUGAAAUUCUUGGAUUUAUUGAAGACUAACUACUGCGAAAGCAUUUGCCAAGGAUGUUUUCAUUAAUCAAGAACGAAAGUUAGGGGAUCGAAGACGAUCAGAUACCGUCGUAGUCUUAACCAUAAACUAUGCCGACUAGGAAUCGGGCGAUGUUGACAAAAUGACUCGCUCGGCACCUCAUG